rnacentral:rRNA from 1 species
GUGGGGAAUUUUGCACAAUGGGGGAAACCCUGAUGCAGCGACGCCGCGUGAAGGAUGAAGGCCUUCGGGUUGUAAACUUCUUUUGUAGGGGAAAAUUAUGAUGGUACCCUAAGAAUAAGCCACGGCUAACUCUGUGCCAGCAGCCGCGGUAAGACAGAGGUGGCAAGCGUUGUUCGGAAUUACUGGGCUUAAAGGGCGCGUAGGCUGUAAUGUAAGUCUGAGGUGGAAUCCUAUGGCUUAACCAUAGAACUGCCCUGGAAACUGCAUUGCUUGAGUCAGUGAGGGGAGGGCGGAAUUCCUGGUGUAGCGGUGAAAUGCGUAGAUAUCAGGAGGAAGGCCGGUGGCGAAGGCGGCCCUCUGGUGCUAGACUGACGCUGAGGCGCGAAAGCGUGGGGAGCAAACAGGAUUAGAAACCCCAGUAGUCC